GCCGGCGACCCUACCACGUUGAAAGCACCGGUUCUCGUCCGAUCACCGCAGUUAAGCAACGUUGGACCCGGUCAGUACUUGCAUGGGUGACCAACGAGUUAAAAACUGAUUUGUUUAAU
rnacentral:rRNA from 1 species